CUUCCACUAGACCGGGUUUAUCAGUGCCCCAUCCAGCCUGGCCGUGAACACCUCCAAGGGAUGGGGCAUCCUCAGCUUCUCUGGGGAGCCUGUGCCAGUGGCUUACCACACUCAGGGUACUAGAAGACCACAAUUAGGUCACCUCAAAGCCUUCUCUUUCCCAGGCUGAACAAACCCAAUUCUCCCAGCCUUUCCUCGUGGGAGAGGUGCUCCAUCCCUGUCAUCAUCUUGUUGGCCUCCUCUGGAUUCACUCCAACAGGUCCAUGUCCUUCCUGUGCCAGGGGCCCCAGAGCUGGAUGUACUUCCAGGAUCAUGGAAUCACAGAAUAUCUGUGUUGGAAGUGACCCAAAAGGAUCAUUGAGUCCAACUUAGCCCUGCACAGGACCAUCCCCCCACACCAUCUGCCUAAGAGCAUUGUCCAAGCACUUCUUGAACUCUGUCAGGCUGGGUGCUGUGAUCACUUCCCUGAGGAGCCUGUUCCAGUGCCCAACCACCCUCUGGGUGAAAGAACCUUUUCCUAAUAUCCAACCUAAACCUCCCCAUGGUCAACUUUAGGCCGCUCCCUUGGGUCCUGUCACUGUUUGCCAGAGAGAAGAGAUCAGUACCUGCCCCUCCACUUCCCCUCAUGAGGAAGGACUGCAAUUAAUUUACACUGUCAGUGCUACAGAGAGUUUUGUAAUAGCUACAUUUGAACAUUAAUUCAUUUUUGAACUGAAUAAAAAAUCCCUACGUCUGAACAGUAUUCCAUGUUGCACAAGAGAUAUGUUGCAGGCAGAGUGGUACUUGGAAAAUCCCACAGUUACUGGCUUUCAGCUUCAAAUUGUCCCUUUGAUUCUUUAACCAAGGCUGAGCUGAGUGGACAAGCUGCCAGGUAACCUCCAGGAUUCUCAAGAGGUGACUCACCACCUUGACGGACACUAUUGACAGGUUCAGGAUUCACCCUCUGCUUGGUGAACACUGGGCAAAGAAAACAAGGGUUUGACCUCGCACUGCUUUUGGCCAGCGUGUGCCCAGGUGGCCGAGAAGGCCAGUGGCACCUGGCCUGGAUCAGCCAUGGUGUGGCCAGCAGGAGCAGGGCAGGGAUUGUCCUCCUGUACUCGGCACUGGUGAGGCCACACCUCGAGUGCUGUGAACAGUUCUGGGGCCCUCUCUACAAGAAAAACAUGGAAGUGCUGGAGCGUGUCCAAAGGAGGGCAGUGGGGCUGGUGAAGGGUCUGGAGCACAAGUCCUGUGAGGAGCAGCUGGGGUUGUUUGGCCUGGAGAAGAGGAGGCUCAGGGGAGACCUUAUCGCUCUCAGUAACUGUCUGAAAGGAGGCUGUGGCCAGAUGUGGAGUUGGUCUCUGGUCCCAUAUAGCAAGUGAUUGAACAAGAGAAAAUGACCUGAGGUUUAGAUUUGAUAUUAAGAAUAAUUUUUCACCAAAAGGAUUAUCCAGCACUGGAACAGGCUGCUCCAGGAAGUAGUGAACCUUCUCCAUAGAUAUUCAAAAGACAUGGCAUGUGAGGACACUGUCUACUGAUGGACUUGGCAGUACCAGGUUCAUCACUGGACCUGAUGAUCUUAGAGUUAUUUUGCAACCUUAAUGAUUCUUAGGCUUUGUCUUUAAGAAGUUUUUGUCUUGUUGAUAUUCAGUACUUUGGUCUCCAGUGAUAUAAAGGAAGACAAUGCAAGUUGUCUUUAUGGAAACAAAGUAGCCAAUAAACAAGUUCACUAUUGUGUUUUCUUCUUCUAGUGAUAACAGUGAUAGUUAUGCUGAUUGAGACCCAAUAAGUUAAUGGCUGUGCAUAUAUAGUUAUGGCUUGAUUCAGACUGUGGUAACUGCAGACUCGGGUAAUGUUGGAUGAGGGAUUACAAUUUCCUCCUAAGCAUACACAAAAUAUUACUGCUGACUUUAUUUAAGAUACUGUGCUUUGGCACUGCAAUAAUAGAGCACAAGCUCUUCCUCACAUCCUACAAUUUCACUCUUUUUCUUAAGCACUUGGAAAAUAAACAACCUCCUUUUGGUCUGAACAGCUGAUUAGGAGUUGUGACUUGCUUUCAGCGGGAUGAAAUACAAGUUGGAUGUUUCUGCAGUUUGUGUACCUUGAGCAUCCCCACCAUAACACGCUACAUUAGAUGCAUUUCCCUCUCUCAAGUACAAGCCUAUAGUCCUCUCAGAAAUCUCUCCAGCUUUUGCACCCUCAUUUUCUUCACAAACAUGUGUCUGCAAAUCCAAGUGAAAAACAAGCUGCUUCAUUCACAGUCAGCUCCCAGGGAAGUACUUAAUAUUCCCUGUUGCUUUUUCUCCCAGGGCUUUCAGCUUGGGUCAGUGGCUCCUAUAGCAUGGAAAAAUAUACUCCCUUUACUUCCCAUUUUGUGACCAUUGGAUUUAGUGCGCUUUUUGUCUCCAGCUCCACAAUUUGUGUCUCUUCAUAACUGGCAUGUAGAGAGCUGCUUUAGCAGCACGGUACCUAUACCAGCAGCACUGCCGUGUGGCACUCCUGUGGUACUUUCAUCUCUGAGUGUUCCCAAAGACUUGGCAGCCUGUCUCCCAGCCUCUGCAUGGCUUGCUGCUUUUAAAGCUGCUCCUCCCUGCUCUCUCUUAUUUCUUAAUAAAAUGACACGUGCAGCCUUGAAACAGAUUGAUUCCUGGCAGAAGUAGGACUGCAGAUUGGAUUAGCAAACUAGGAAGGGUUAGCUGCUCUGUGGGAAAUAGUGGGGUUUUUCCCUCUUUGCUGUAUCACAGAGUGGAACAGAAGAACCCUGUUCCUGCAAAUCUCCCAAAGGACUUCAAAACAGCCAGAUGCCUUUGCCCCAAUCCGCUGACUCCUGAGGCCUGUCUGUAGUGGUGUGUGAUGGUUCCUGUGGGCAGGAGCAGAGAUGGUCUCACGGUGAAGUCACUUGGCAAAGACAGCUGGUUCAGCUCCAGCCCUGUGCAGAAUCUUUGUGAUCUUAUCAGUGCUGUCCAAGCUGUGCCUCUCCCCAGAGCUCAUAGCUGUGAGUGUGCAUGCUUGGCAUGCAAACAGUGCUGGAAUUAAUUCUACUGGGAGAAAAACAGAAGGUACAAAGCAACAUUUCCAUUAACAAUGUAAUGUACUGUAUUAGAAAACCGAGCAGCCAGCUGCUAUGCUGAAAACACCUUUGCAUUUCAUCUCUAGCCACUAACUCAUCCUCCCUCCCAAAGGAUCAAAAUCCUCACAGGAAGUCUUUUCUGAGAGAUGGCACCUGUUUCAUGGGGAACUGCUGCUCCCAGGCAGAAAUGCUGCAGUGACAAACUGUCCUCCUGUGCAGACCUCCUGCAUCAUCUGCUCCUCCUGGACCACCCUAUGGCAGCCGCUGAACGCAGUCUUGCUGCUUACUGCAAACCACCUCUGAAACAAAAGAUUUUGCAAGAAUGAACAAGACCCUUCUUGUCCCUGUUUUGUCAGCCAGAUCUUGAAGCUCCUUUGACUCUCCUCCUGACUGCUAGUGUUGACCUAAAGCAAGCAGCAGGAAUGUAAAAUAGGCUCUAGUAAGGGCGGGGCCAGUCUCAGUAGGGUAGCAUAGGCUUGAACUAGAAUAUGCUGGUCAUAAAACCACAUCCUCGUGGGCUCACACACCGAGGCUUAACAGGUGUUUUGCUCUGCCCACUAUAAGAAAUUAUAGAUCUGCCUCAUUUAGUUUGGGUAUCAGAAAAGUAACAGUGCCUACUGUGAGCUCUGCCUGCUUCUUUCUGACAUGAUGGGGAGAGUCCUCUUAACACAAAAUAUAUCUGAGAGAUCAACCUGCCAGAGAAUGGCAGGUGCAGUGGAGAGAAGGCAAAUUUUAUAUUGGGAAGUCAUUUCACCAAUCAAUUGAUCUCCAGUCUAAGAGCAAAGCAAUAGAAAAUAAUUUGGAAGGAGGAGAAAGGGGUGACUCAAGGUGAGCUUCUGCAAACUAGAGGCCAGAUGAUUUCAGCCAUAACUAUGCCUGUGCUGUAUCAUGAGGCAAUCAAUGACUCCAAAACAAAGAGGUACAUCAUGAAAGCAGGAUGCUGGAAUACUCUUUGGUCUUUGUGAAUGAGGGUACACAUGCCAGGAUCUCCCUUGAUGCCUGCCUGCAUUGAGGGCACAGAAUAAAAUGGAAAAAGAAGACAGCUUAUGGGCAUGCUUGGUCAGAGCGAGAUGGUAUUUCAAAGCCAGGGGUGUCAUUUUGGUUACAACAAACCUCAAAACUCGAGAAAAUGCUUUUGACAACUGGUGUCACAGAGUUGCUUGCUGUGAGAGAGAUUUCUGUAUGUGCCCAAGGCAAUGGGCCUCUUUGCAUUGUCACAUCCUCUCUUUUAGCUACUGGAGGCUACUGAAAUUCAGAGAUAAAGAGCUAAAACAAGAGGAUCACAAGUAUUUAUACACAAAUGAGCACCACCAGGCAUUUCAGGUGGGAUUUUGAGCCCCUGUGCCUGGCAUGAAGCCCUGGCUGCCUGUUUUGUUCAGAGAACGUUUGGCUCCUAACAUAUAUGAGUCUAAACCCUUAUUUUUAAAAUUGCCGACAUCCUGACACGAGUGCCACCUGUAGCUGUGGCCAGCACUUCAGUGGCCUCAGGGCUGGAGCGUGGGGUUCAGUGGGUUGAGUCAGUGAGUGAGUCCCGCCUGUGGAAAAGCCACCUCGUGCCUCAGUUUCCCCAUUUUUGUGACAAUGUGGGGGGCGGCUGCGACCCCUCGGCGGGAUGCUCUUGACCCGGCUGGCGGGCAUCCGGGCAGCCCCGGCAUGGCUGUCGCCAGUCCUCGGGAACCCCCACCGGGACAGGGCUCGGGGAGCCGCCCCGGACCCGAGUGCUGCCCGGCGGGGGUGUGAAGCCGGGCCUUGUGGGGCGGCAGCCGAGUCCCCUGGACGC